rnacentral:rRNA from 1 species
UACAGAGGGUGCAAGCGUUGUUCGGAAUUAUUGGGCGUAAAGCGCACGUAGGCGGUUCGUUAUGUCGGAUGUGAAAGCCCUUGGCUUAACCGAGGAAGUGCAUCCGAAACUGGCGAGCUAGAGUACGAAAGAGGAUCGCGGAAUUCCCGGUGUAGAGGUGAAAUUCGUAGAUAUCGGGAGGAACACCGGUGGCGAAGGCGGCGAUCUGGGUCGAUACUGACGCUGAGGUGCGAAAGCGUGGGGAGCAAACAGG